UACGAAGGGGGCUAGCGUUGCUCGGAAUGACUGGGCGUAAAGGGCGCGUAGGCGGUUUGUACAGUCAGAUGUGAAAUUCCUGGGCUCAACCUGGGGGCUGCAUUUGAUACGUGCGGACUUGAGUGAGGAAGAGGGUCGUGGAAUUCCCAGUGUAGAGGUGAAAUUCGUAGAUAUUGGGAAGAACACCGGUGGCGAAGGCGGCGACCUGGUCCUUGACUGACGCUGAGGCGCGAAAGCGUGGG
rnacentral:rRNA from 1 species